CCCUAGCCCUGAUAGCAGCGGCAUCCUUUUAUUUUUUUCUUUAAAAAAUAAAAGAUACAGCGGAUAGCAGGAAUUAGC
rnacentral:sRNA from 1 species